rnacentral:lncRNA from 1 species
CUCACUGGUGAGGUUCCCGAAAACUGUGCAACACCAGCAGAGCCAAUGAGUGAUGGCCAGGGCCAUGGGGAUAUAGGUGCACCACCCACUGCUCUGUUUGCAGAAAUAAUUGUUGUGACCCAGCUAAGGCUGGGAAAGGGGGAAUGCAUGAGCAUGUUGGGACCAAGGCAUCAGAGCUGGGAGGACAGUUGUACAUUGUGUGGGAGCUUGGCAAGCCCCUCCAAAUGUCUGUCUUGACUCCUGCUGAAUGGACUUGCACACAGAAACUGGGUCCUGAGCUACGCUCUGCCUUGUGAUGGAAGGGACAGGCAUAUGCCAGCCUAGACCUCGGCCCUUGCCGGAUUGGAGUCCAAGGUGUGCAUAUCCAUCCAGAUGUGGUGCGUGACCUCAGGGUCUGUGACAGAAGCUCUGGCAUCCUCACUUUGCUGGAAUGGGUCACAGGCUAUGGGAGAGCCUGUCAGGUGGUAUCUGUGGAUUUGUAUGAGGUGCUGAGGGACUCAAGGCUGUCGUCUCUAAUACCUUGAUGUAAUACCAGGUAUCCCCAAGAGCUUCUUUGGGAAGGGAAAGGUCUAGAAACCACCUCAGCUGAGCUGGUGUGCAGUCUGCAUGUCCACUGCCCUUUCUGCUCAUCCCAGUAGGAAAUGGUGACUGUGGCAUGUUAGCCAGUCACCGGGACAGGACUGUCCCCAGGCGCUCUGAUGCCAAAACAUGUCAAGUAUUGGCACGCUGUCAGCAGCCAUGGCUCUGGACAGGAAUCCAUGAAAUGCUGGCAUGCAGACUACAAGAUUCCAGCAAGGCGUGGGAAUGUAGGUGUCAUUCCCCAAUUCUUCCUGGUAGGCCACAUUUGGAGUGGGAACUCCAUCAACUUGGCCUGUAGUUCAAAUAUGGUGAGAAAUCUCGGGAUCUGGGGCACCAACUUUGCCCGCUUGUGUAAAUUCACCAGAGACCUUGUCCUGUGGCAAGGGGGAAUAAUGACCGUCCCCAAAACUGUCUGGGACAAAGACAUUCAUGUGAGGAUAAAUAACAGUAGAAAAAUUGCAGAUAGGAGGCCACACCUAACAUCAUUUAAUCGUUGGUGGACAACAGAACAUGAGGAACUCCAGUAGACAUUGGAGUUGUUGAAACCCACUGACUGCCGAUUGGCUCUCAACAGGGUGGGGAGAGUCUGGCCACUCUUCCGAAUUGGAAGGGGAGGCAAUUUGCCCACAGGAAUGUCUCUGUCCCGGCAGAGUGGGACCAUGGAGGUGGAUGGUUAUCUGGGUCACUCCUUGGGCUUCAGUGUUGCAUAGGUUACUGGACCCUAGCAGAAGCUUCCCCACAUGAUGUAGGUGACAAGGGAGAAUGGACAGCUACAGACCAUCGAUGAUGAUGGUCUGACUGUGCGCACUACGAUCCCAGAUGAUUCACAAUGAUCCAAUUUCCAGAUAUAGUGGCCAUAGUGCUGUACCUCACUGGUGAGGUUCCCGAAAACUGUGCAACACCAGCAGAGCCAAUGAGUGAUGGCCAGGGCCAUGGGGAUAUAGGUGCGCCACCCUCUGCUCUGUUUGCAGAAAUAAUUGGUGUGACCCAGCUAAGGCUGGGAAAGGGGGAAUGCAUGAGCAUGUUGGGACCAAGGCAUCAUAGCUGGGAGGACAGUUGUACAUUGUGUGGGAGAUUGGCAAGCCCCUCCAAAUGUCUGUCUUGACUCCUGCUGAAUGGACUUGCACACAGAAACUGGGUCCUGAGCUACGCUCUGCCUUGUGAUGGAAGGGACAGGCAUAUGCCAGCCUAGACCUCGGCCCUUGCCGGAUUGGAGUUCAAG